GGGAGUUCCUUACUGUGACCUAGACAACCAGGUGAGAGGAGUUCCUUACUGUGACCUAGACAACCAGGUGAGAGGAGUUCCUUACUGUGACCUAGACAAUCAGGUGAGAGGAGUUCCUUACUGUGACCUAGACAAUCAGGUGAGAGGAGUUCCUUACUGUGACCUAGACAACCAGGUGAGAGGAGUUCCUUACUGUGACCUAGACAACCAGGUGAGAGGUGUUCCUUACUGUGACCUAGACAACCAGGUGAGAGGAGUUCCUUACUGUGACCUAGACAAUCAGGUGAGAGGAGUUCCUUACUGUGACCUAGACAACCAGGUGAGAGGAGUUCCUUACUGUGAUCUAGACAACCAGGUGAGGGGAGUUCCUUAUUAAUCAGGGACCUUAAUUCAUCAAUCAAUCAAGUGCAAGGGUGGAGCAAAAGCCUGCAGACACUCGGCUCUCUGUGGAAUGAGUUUUACACAUGUUCUAAUGUAUAGCAAACAUGCUUGAUUAUCCCUUGACCUGUGACAUCAUAUUAAUAUGCCUCUAGAUCCUCUAAAAUGGGAAUUGCCUAAAAGUUACAGCGGUGUAGCAAACAGUAGCAUAGCGUUUUGUCCCCAAAUCCCCUUAUACUACCCACCACGGUGACCUGUACGCUCUCGUUGGCUGGCCCUCGCUUCAGACUCGCCGCCAAACCCACUGGCUCCAGGUCAUCUACAAGUCUCUGCUAGGUAAAGCCCAGCCUUAUCUCAGCUCACAAGUCACCAUAGCAGCAUCCACCCGUAGCACCCACUCCAGCAGGUAUAUCUCACUGGUAAUCCCCAAAGCCAAUUCUUCCUUUGGCCACCUUUCCUUCCAGUUCUCUGCUGCCAAUGACUGGAACGAACUGCAAAAAUCACAGAAGCUGGAGACUCAUAUCUCCCUCACUAGCUUUAAGCACCAGCUGCCAGAGCUCACAGAUCACUGCACCUGUACAUAGCUCAUCUGUAAAUAGCCCAUCCAACUACCUCAUCCCCAUACUGUAUUUAUUUAUUUAUCUUGCUCCUUUGCACACCAGUAUUUCUACUUGCACAUUCAUCUUCUGCACAUCUACCAUUCCAGUGUUCAAUUGCUAUAUUGUAAUUACUUUGCCACCAUGGCCUAUUUAUUGCCUUACCUCCCUUAUCCUACCUCAUUUGCACACACUGUAUAUAUACUUUUUCUACUGCAUUAUUGACUAUAUGUUUGUUUAUUCCAUGUGUAAUUCUGUGUUUUAUGUGUCGAACUGCUUUGCUUUAUCUUGGCCAGGUCGC
ensembl:lncRNA